AGCGAACGCUGGCGGCAGGCCUAACACAUGCAAGUCGAACGAACCUUUCGGGGUUAGUGGCGGACGGGUGAGUAACACGUGGGAACGUGCCUUUAGGUUCGGAAUAACUCAGGGAAACUUGUGCUAAUACCGAAUGUGCCCUUCGGGGGAAAGAUUAAUCGCCUUUAGAGCGGCCCGCGUCUGAUUAGCUAGUUGGUUGAGGUAAUGGCUCACCAAGGCGACGAUCAGUAGCUGGUCUGAGAGGAUGAUCAGCCACAUUGGGACUGAGACACGGCCCAAACUCCUACGGGAGGCAGCAGUGGGGAAUCUUGCGCAAUGGGCGAAAGCCUGACGCAGCCAUGCCGCGUGAAUGAUGAAGGUCUUAGGAUUGUAAAAUUCUUUCACCGGGGACGAUAAUGACGGUACCCGGAGAAGAAGCCCCGGCUAGCUUCGUG
rnacentral:rRNA from 1 species